rnacentral:sRNA from 1 species
UAACAAAUCUCCAGAAGAACUUAGGAUC